rnacentral:rRNA from 1 species
GACGAACGCUGGCGGCGUGCUUAACACAUGCAAGUCGAACGGUGAACGAGGGAGCUUGCUCCCUCCGGAUCAGUGGCGAACGGGUGAGUAACACGUGAGCAAUCUGCCCCGAACUCUGGGAUAAGCGUUGGAAACGACGUCUAAUACCGGAUACGACGCGGGAUGGCAUCCUCUCCGCGUGGAAAGAACUUCGGUUCGGGAUGAGCUCGCGGCCUAUCAGCUUGUUGGUGAGGUAACGGCUCACCAAGGCGACGGAGGGUAGCCGGCCUGAGAGGGUGACCGGCCACACUGGGACUGAGACACGGCCCAGAAUCGUACGGGAGGCAGCAGUGGGGAAUAGUGCACAAUGGGGGCAAGCCUGAUGCAGCAACGCCGCGUGAGGGACGACGGCCUUCGGGUUGUAAACCUCUUUUAGCAGGGAAGAAGCGAAAGUGACGGUACCUGCAGAAAAAGCACCGGCUAACUACGUG